rnacentral:rRNA from 1 species
CACGUAGGGUGCGAGCGUUGUCCGGAAUUAUUGGGCGUAAAGAGCUCGUAGGCGGUGUGUCACGUCGGCCGUGAAAACCUGCAGCUUAACUGUGGGCGUGCGGUCGAUACUGGCAUCACUGGAGUUCGGCAGGGGAGACUGGAAUUCCUGGUGUAGCGGUGAAAUGCGCAGAUAUCGGGAGGAACACCGGUGGCGAAGGCGGUUCUCUGGGCCUUACCUGACGCUGAGGAGCGAAAGCGUGGGGAGCGAACAGG